rnacentral:rRNA from 1 species
CUGGCAGGUCCUAAUUUUAAGUGGAUCUGGAAAGCUAGUAUUCCAUUGAAGAUUAAAAUCUUUCUAUGGCAGCUAUUUCAAAAUGUUGUGCUUACGCGGGAUAAUUUGCGGAAGAGGAAUUGGCCCGGGAAUCCUGUUUGCUCUUUCUGUACUAAUAUGGAAAAUGCAAAUCAUCUAUUCUUUACAUGUCCACUAGCUCGAACGGUCUGGGAGACCUUGGGAAUUACGGCUGGGGCUUCCUGCUGUCCCCGGUCUUUGUGGCAGUGA